ACCAGGCAACGAGGGCGGGGCUUCAGACUGCUCAGUGCCACUGAAGUCCCCCGGCUCACUGCACACCACAUGGUUUUGGUAAAGUGAUUAGUUGUAUAUUUGUUAGAGGACCGGCAUGACUAAAGUACAGUGUCAAACAAAAGCAGGUUCCGCGUCAUCAACUAACCCGUGGCCGUGUCGUGUAGAGGGCCCCUGUGUCAAAGUCAAGCGUGCCGGUUAGCUGCCGUCCCCUGCAUCGUUGGCGGCCUCCGCUCAGGGACUACAAGUGGAUAUGGGCUUUUAGCUGUAUCUGGCGCGAUAUUCUGUUAAUCUGCCCGCGAAGUUUGUGUGUCCACUGGUGACAGAAGUCUAUUCUGCUCUAUUCUGCUCCGGUAUGAGUGAAUGAAAGUUGCUGCCCGCAUCACCGUGCAGCACUUGACCCCUGACACGUAUCUCUACACUGUCUUUCACUUCGUGGCCUCAGUCUAAAUAUCAGAGACGUUCACAGAGACGGAACACGCAGCCCUCCACACUGGAACAACUGGUUGCAGCCGACGACGUUGCGGGAUCCGGGGAUGGAUCCGGAGCCGGAGCCGCGGCAACCGCCCACAAGCGACUUCCCGUCUUCACAAUAAAAGCCCCAAAUAAACUUGACUGAGCUUCGUUACAAGAAUGAUGAAAACACUCCAUGUGGCUUUAUUUGCUGUGGAAUCCAACACCAGCCAUUAAAUAGAAGAAUAAGGACUGCGUGUACUGAUUACCUGAUUAAAAAAAACAGGUGUUACAGACUGUUCCUGCAAUGAUUGUUGCAGUGUGGACGUUGACUUGAAGUCUGGUUUGCGCCACAGAGUGACCUUGUAGGCUAAACAUGGGAACAAAAAACAAUAAAUGAAUAAAUAAAUAUUUAAAAAAAUGAAGAGCCUGGGGAGGUGACUUGGUCGGCAAACCUCGUAUUUCCAGUUCAGCUGGUUUUCAAGCUUUAGAGAAAAAAAACCGGAAGGAUUACAUGUGUCUUGGUGAUAUCUAUUUUCAGAUCAUGAGACUGUCUCGGUGUUUUCUGGAUUUGACGAAAAUGUGUGUAUCUUUGUGUCCAAAGAUACGAGGUCUUCACCGGACAUCAGCAGAAUAUUCAUUUGACAGAAAAAGAGGGUUUAUUGUUGUUAGUUCAUUUCCACAGAGAAUAAUUUUUCUUGUACUUGUUUAUUGUUUAUAUUCAUGUAUUUAUCUGGAUCUGGAUCUUGAUAAAGUGCUGUUUAGUACUUAAGGACGACUGUAGGCCUAACAGGCAGGAGUGUCUACAGACCAUUAUGUCUCCAGACUAAUUUAUUCUUGUUCUUCACUGCUAUUCUUGGUUUAAUAGUUGAGAGUUAACAGGAUGAGCAGGUAACAUUAGUGCACUGGAGCUACAUGUGAUCCAAGGAAAGCUAACAGGACAAAGGCCAACAAAGCUCCAAUUUGUGUCUCUCAUGUAUUACUGUGGACUAAAAACCUGUUUUUCUUAGAGAUUAAUCAUCACGCACCACGUUCUGAGUCCUCAAAGUCUCCUCUAACCACCUGGAUAAAAAUAUUCAGUAGCCUGCACAACAGAAAAGUCUUUACCUGUUUCCAAUUGCAACUUUUUUUAAUCCAAAGAAAGACUGUAACU